rnacentral:misc_RNA from 1 species
UACAGAGGGCUCGAGCGUUAAUCGGAAUCACUGGGCUUAAAGGGUGCGCAGGCGGACUCGCAAGCAUCUUGUGAAAUCCCACCGCUCAACGGUGGAAUCGCUGGGUGGACUGCGAGUCUUGAGCCCGACAGGGGUCGUCAGAACGCUAGGUGGAGCGGUGAAAUGCGUAGAUAUCUAGCGGAAUGCCAAAGGUGAAGACAGACGACUGGGUCGGCGCUGACGCUCAGGCACGAAAGCGUGGGGAGCGAACGGG